rnacentral:lncRNA from 1 species
ACCAGCCUGGCUUAUCCAUGAACCAGAGACCCACACAUCCAACAGCAUCAGCACAGGGACGGGAAAGUGAGCUAUGUAGGUCUGUGCUCUGUGGCUGAAAAUGAACAAGGGUGCUUCCUCCGUUGGGGGAUGGAAAAACUGCCAACGAAGAUUAAGUGAGAGAGAGAGAGAGAGAGAGAGAGAGAGAGAGAGAGAGAGAGAGAAUGUAAAACUAUGCAGCUUAUGUGUUUGAAAACGACCCAAGCAGGGGCGAACGUGUGCACAUUUUUGUUUGCAUGUGCAUUAAAUAAUCCUGGAGAAGAAUACAAGGAGAAACUGCAACAGUGGUUACCUGUGUGUGCAAGGAGGGGGAUGCUACUAGGAGGCAGAAACCUCACCAUAAAUCUCUGUGUGCUCAGGUGUUCCAACUGCAGGAAUCGAUUGCAGAGAUGAUUUUCUUGUAAAGAGAGGGGUGGCUGACACUGGCUUCUUGGGAAACUCACUCCAGCUUCAGGAGGAAGGAGAGGAGUCUCCCCGAAAGGCCCUAACACAAGCUGACAUUUGUUACAUCUGAUACCCUUCCAGGAGCUGCUAGUGGCAAUGUCUGGUACCCUGCCACCUUCUCCAAGCAAGGUCAGGGCUGGAGCUAGAGAGGCUGAAGUGGUCAAAGAUGGUGGCCUGAUGCAGUCCCUGGCCCAGGUGUAGACAAGUGGGCAAGGAGAUGCUCAGAUCGGGCAGCCCUGGGUAGCAGGUCAGCUGGGCUCAUUGCCCCCUGAAUGUUCUCACAGUGUCACCCUCAUCCUGCCUCUGCUGGCCUUGUGUCCAAGCAAGUCACACAUUCUGUCUUUACAUGCUUGCUCAUCCGUUAAAUAGAAUAAUACCCACUG